CUUUUGGAGUUAAUGACAAAUUUGGAGUUAAUGGCAUCUGAGCAGUGGAAUUCGGCCUCUUGGCUUUGGCUAUUUUCCAAAGUCCAGUUUCUCAUAAACUGACCUUGGUGUUCCUACAGCAGACUGCUCUGAUCCCGAGAAACUCUGUGCAACCAUAGUAACCAGACAGCAGGCUCUGUGUAACCUUGAGUGAGCUCUCCUAUGUUUUGACCAAGUAAAGCUCCUACGUGCUUGUACUUUUUUGCCUACUUAAGUGUUAACCUGACGCCCAUUAAAUCGACACCUGGAUCAGCAUGUAGACUUGGUGUCCUCUGUGUCGCCCUGUCUCUCUCUCUCCCAGCCCUCUCUCAGGUAGUAUUCAGGUGUCACUGCCGGCCAGUGACAGAUGGAGCAGAAACCCCGGGAACCUGAGACAGAGGACCAGCUGAGGCAAGUUAUAUGGACCACAGGAGCGCGCGCAAAGCAACUGACUAAGGUUAAAGAUGCUGCUUGGUGGCUGCCAGAGAGACUGGUGCAACAAGUGGAUUACUUCAAGGAACAAGAUCAUUCUCCAAGUGACAAUAUUGCUGAUCCUGCUGCAGCUGAUUCAUCCAGUGAAGGCUAAAUUACACUUUUAGGCCUUAGUACCCAAUCCCCUCUUGUUCUCCCUGUACAUGUUAGCACACCUUUGUUUAGCUGGUCUGGUACUAUUCAUCUUUGUCAUUGCCAGAUGUGUUCACUUAGCUCAACAGCACCAAGCUAGAUUUAAUGCCAUUGAAACAGCAGCAUGCUGUGACUCCCUCCCCCCAAGUAGGGGCUUGGCUUGCCCAGCUCAAACGUUAGCUUUAACCUCUCCUUUUCUGUGUGAUGAGCCGGUUAGUCAAUGACCGGUUCUGGGUGAUCGAAUAUUUAUCAACCUAAGACACGAAAAUCCCCCUAUAAGUGGGAUUCGCCCAUGACGAGUAAAAUAUUUAUUGGGAAUCACCCCCACCUAAGACAGGCACGGUCCCUUUGUUUUAAUUUGAAAGGGAGGAAUUGUGGCAGCCUUUUGGAGUUAAUGACAAAUUUGGAGUUAAUGGCAUCUGAGCAGUGGAAUUCGGCCUCUUGGCUUUGGCUAUUUUCCAAAGUCCAGUUUCUCAUAAACUGACCUUGGUGUUCCUACAGCAGACUGCUCUGAUCCCGAGAAACUCUGUGCAACCAUAGUAACCAGGCUCUGUGUAACCUUGAGUGAGCUCUCUUAUGUUUUGACCAAGUAAAGCUCCUACGUGCUUGUACUUUUUUGCCUACUUAAGUGUUAACCUGACGUCCAUUAAAUCAACACCUGAAUCAGCAUGUA